CAUUCGCUUGCUGUAUUCAUAUUAACAUGUUGAGUCAGAUUCGCUGUAUUGUCUCUGUAUUCAACCUAAUACUUACCCACAUGCAGGCCUCCAGGCGGACCUUUGACAUGAUUGAGAAGAGAGUUAUGCUGCUGUCCAUCACUCCACCUUGGGGACAGACAAUCUGGUCUGGGUAUGGAGGCUCUGGGAAGUCUAUGGAGCCGCACUCGUAUGCAGCCAGGGUUACUGAUGCUAUGUGAGGACCCUAAUAAAGAGAAAAAAGGAUGUUUUCAUGAAAAGAAUGAAUAAUUGGGACAUCAAAUAGGUACAGACACACGCCAACAGGAGCUGAGUCACAGUCUCUGUGACAGAUACGUGCCAACCUUUUAUGUGUUCUCUUUUUUGGUCCAUGUCCAAUGCUUCCACCAAGUUUUGCAUAAAUCUGUACAGCCCACAACUGUACAUCUUUAAACUUG